ACGAGUUAGGGCCUCCGUGCCCGACCUCCAACCCUCUUGUAUCACACCUCGUUGCCUCGGGGGUGGCCCUGCCUCGCGGCGGGCCCCCCGGAGGACCACUCAAACACUGCAUUUUAAUGUCGUCUGAGUUAGAUUUUAAAUGAAAUCA
rnacentral:misc_RNA from 1 species